AAAAGGAGACAUAAAAUUCAACUUUUGCUAGCCACUCUUUCCCUUUUUGCUCUCCAUAUACCUCAUAUGUGCAGUAUUUAUUUUGUUUGUCUUAUUCUGGUCAUAAAGUUAUCUAGGAGGCUAGGAGCGCUGACCACCAUCAGAGAUGGGAAAGUAGUCUGUUCUGAUUGUAGUGACGAAAGGAGUUCAAUUCACACCAAGGGUCUUUCUCGCAUUUAGAAACAUCCUAUUAUUUAAGGCCUUUCGCUCAUAUAAGCUCAUCACUAGUUCUUUACCUUUCUAUUUCAUUUCUCUCUACUCUCAUGUUUGUGUUCUCCGUUCCUA
rfam:Equus caballus cont2.10523, whole genome shotgun sequence.